CAGGGAAUCUUCGGCAAUGGACGAAAGUCUGACCGAGCAACGCCGCGUGAGUGAAGAAGGUUUUCGGAUCGUAAAACUCUGUUGUUAGAGAAGAACAAGGACGUUAGUAACUGAACGUCCCCUGACGGUAUCUAACCAGAAAGCCACGGCUAACUACGUGCCAGCAGCCGCGGUAAUACGUAGGUGGCAAGCGUUGUCCGGAUUUAUUGGGCGUAAAGCGAGCGCAGGCGGUUUCUUAAGUCUGAUGUAAAAGCCCCCGGCACAACCGGGGAGGGUCAUUGGAAACUGGGAGACUUGGGUGCAGAAGAGGAGAGUGGAAUUCCAUGUGUAGCGGUGAAAUGCGUAGAUAUAUGGAGGAACACCAGUGGCGAAGGCGGCUCUCUGGUCUGUAACUGACGCUGAGGCUAGAAAGCGUGGGGAGCAAACAGG
rnacentral:rRNA from 1 species